rnacentral:rRNA from 1 species
AUUGAACGCUGGCGGCAUGCCUUACACAUGCAAGUCGAACGGUAACAGGUCUUCGGAUGCUGACGAGUGGCGAACGGGUGAGUAAUACAUCGGAACGUGCCCGAUCGUGGGGGAUAACGGAGCGAAAGCUUUGCUAAUACCGCAUAAGAUCUACGGAUGAAAGCAGGGGACCGCAAGGCCUUGCGCGAACGGAGCGGCCGAUGGCAGAUUAGGUAGUUGGUGGGGUAAAGGCUUACCAAGCCUACGAUCUGUGGCUGGUCUGAGAGGACGACCAGCGACACUGGGAUUGAGACACGGCCCAGACUCCUACGGGAGGCAGCAGUGGGGAAUUUUGGACAAUGGGCGCAAGCCUGAUCCAGCCAGGCCGCGUGCAGGAUGAAGGCCUUCGGGUUGUAAACUGCUUUUGUACGGAACGAAAAGACUCCUUCUAAUAAAGGGGGUUCAUGACGGUACCGUAAGAAUAAGCACCGGCUAACUACGUGCCAGCCGCCGCAGUAAAAC